UGCAAAAAAAAAAAUGCUCAGCCAUUAAAUUACACUAACAAUAAAAAUUUGAUGAAUAUACAAUCAGAUUAACAUGGGCUUGUCAAUUCAAGUGGCCAUAAAACCGUCAACAGCGCUGCUGACGUUGGCACUUAAAGGAAAUAAAAGAAAUUAAAAAGCUGCAAAAAUAGUAAAAUGACAAAAAAGCCACCGAACUUUGAGCAACUCAAUAUACAUACAUACAUAUGUAUGUAUGUUAUUGGCAAAUUUUAACCAGAAAAAAGACUACAGAAUAGCAAAAUUUAUAUAUUACUUACAUAUGCACAUAAUAUGUGUGUAUUUGUAUGCUAUUGGAAAUACGAACUCAUUAAUUUUUGCAGAAAAAAAUGUAAUUUUUUCUUUUAAUUUUUACUUCUUUUUACUUUUUUUCAUAAUUUUUUUUUUAUUUAUUUAUGUCCUAAAAAGUUUGCUUCAUACCAAGAACUGUCAAUUGGCUCUUGUCAAAAGGUUGAUAAAAAAUUUGAGAAGCUGUACAUAUACAGCUCUUUUUUGGUAGCGUGUUUAGUUACUGUUGUUGCCUGCUGUCAGUUUUCGUUGAUUGUCGUCCUUGACUGAUGCUGAGAGUGUGAAACUUGAGCCCUCAAGCCCGUGAUGUCGACGUUGCGCAGUUGGUUGUGGUGCUGUCAAUUUUGUGCGACUGAAAUACAAAACUAACCACUUUUGCCUGCGGUCCAGUCUCGGCGAUCGCAAGCGAUUAGAGGCAAUUGACAAAUGGAAUUUGUGGCAGCAAGCGCCGGCGAACUAGCCACUGUGGAAGCCAGCAUGAAAGCAGCUGCUAUUGAAGCAGUGAUCCGCUCAUUAUUGCUUGCCACUGUUGCUUGUAGCUGGAGCUUGUCAAUCACAUAGCAGGAAUUGACACAAAGCGACACGAGUGAUUGGCUCCAACUUUUGGAACGGGUAUGUGGCAAGGAAAAUGGAAUGAUAUAUUUGGUAUGUUGCAAAGAAACAGUAAAUUUUUACGUGCGCAUGCAUGUGUGUGUUUAAAUGUUUUACAGUUCGAUUCGCUGUCAAUGCAAGCCAACGACCACUUCCUGUCUUCAGUGUGGUCAGCGCGCGCUCAGCGGAUGUGGUGAACGGGCUAACCAGUUUGCGUUUAAUUGUUGAGAGAAAUGUUAAGAAAAAAAACCAUAAAAGUUCUUGAGGCAGAUUUUGUAUUGAAAAGUUCAAAAGUAUUAUUUUUAGAAGAAUAUUGACUUGAAAAAAAUUAAUUAUAAAUUUUCACAGCCUACAAAUAAUGCACUGCGCAAUAUAAUUUAUUAAUUAAACAAAUUAGUCUUUAUUUGCCGGAAAUUUGCUUAAUUAGCAUUGAUUGAAAUUUUAAUCUGUCUUGUUUUUUCUCAUUUUUGAACCUUUUUGCUGCAAAAUUUUUACUUAAAAAAAAAAAAUUAUUUUUAAUUAGCAACCAACAAUUUGGCUAUCAGCAAGUCCAUUUCUGUUUAACUUUUUUAAUUGUCCAUAAUCUUUGCUUGAUUAUACAAAGUUGCCGAUAGCAAAAAAGCUGAAGUAUUUCAAAAAAAAAAGAAGAAAAAAAAAACAAAAAAAAAAGAAGAAAAAAAAUGGUUUGAAAAGCAGAAAAACAAUAAGGCAAAGAAACAUUUCCAUACAAAAGAAAUAUACACAGACAUACUUUUGUAUGUAUAUAUGUAUAUAUGUUUGGCUAUGGCAGCUUAAAUGGUUUACAUAUAACUGAAAUACACUAAUAAUCAUAUGAAUGAUUGUCUUCUUGUUGAGGCAAAUUGGUAUUAAAGUGAAAAAUUGUUAAACAAAGCAACACUUAAAUGCUUAUACACGUAUGCACGAUUGUGAAGCGGCUAAUGAUAACGGUAGUGGCCAUAGAAAACUAUAAUAAAAAAGUAAAAUUGAAAGACAAACUGAGCUCAGGCUCAAACUUCAGAGAAAGCUCUACUUUUACACCACUCACCACAAAAAGAUCUCUCUCUCUUCAAAUAUUCGAAAAUAAUGUCUAAUUUAUUAGAAGCGCGAAGCAUUUUUCUAACAAAGUCAGCAACAAUAAAUGGCGGCAAACUAAUUAAUCAUUAUUUGUGCUCAGAGAUGAAUAGCUAAACGACCACAAAGCAAUCAGUCAAAUAAUUCAAAUAAUAAAAAAAAAUAAUAGAAGGAAUAUAUAUGCAUACAUAAAAGGAGAAAUAUAUAUGUAUAUAUACCGCAGCGUGUUUUUUAUACACACUUAAAAGAAGUUAACUUGAUAAGUAUCGAUUCGGCAAUAUUGAGCUCAGUGAGUGAAAUAAAAAUCUUCCGAUUUUUUAAAUAGUUUUUUUUUUUUUAAUACUUGCUCUUUAUUUUUCUUAUUUAUUUACAAUUUAUAUUUAUAUUUGAAUACUUUUUCUUGCUGUUUCAAUUGCACCCGAAGUAAUGUUUUUCAAAAUGUUCCAAAACCAUCACAUCAUUUUUGGCACUUUCCCUCCAGCUUGAGCAUACCAUACAGCAAGGCACUCUCCCAUAGAUACAGACCUCUAAUAGUCUCAUUCCGCACGCCAAGCACCUCUGGUUUGCAAACUGGUUUCAACAAUGAUUCAUCAAGCAUCCGUCACAUGGUAGAAUAACAACAACAACAACAACAACAACAAUCAAAUAACAGGCAGUAAACAGGCUAACAACAGGUAGCUGACAACAGUAAAGCAAUGAAAAAAAAAAAACAGAAACAAUUGUGAUACAAAACAAAGAGUCUGAAAUAGAUGAAAGAAAAAAGUAACAUUACAGUCACAAUCCCAAGCGAACUCUUUGUGUUGGUCAGUUAGCUUCGCUUUGCUUUGCAUUGCUUCGUUUCACAUUCGACUGACACGACCACCACACAAUUACAUCCGGUAAUUUAAUGUAAUUUUAGAUUUUUCUCAUUUAAAUUGCAUGCAAUGGCAAAAAAUAAAAAUGCAUACAUAAAUAUAUAUGAAAGAAAACCAUACACACAUACGGCUAUGUAUCUACAUGUAUAACAGUACAAGCAAAAAAUAGUAAAUAAACUGGCCAAAGUGAUAGUAAAAUUACUAAAUCGUUAUAAAAACUAUGGCUGCUUGUAGCAAAUAAAAUUAAUUUUUUAUUGUUAAGUUCAAACGCAAAGCAAUUUCAGAACCACCACCAUUAGUAAUCGUACUCGGCUGAUCAGUCAAUCAUAACAAAUUAACGCUCAAUUCUUUAAUUA